UCCCUGGUGGUCCAGUGGUUAGGAGUUGGCACUUCCACUGCCACGGGCCCAGGUUCAAUCCCUGGUCAGGCAA